AGUGAACGCUGGCGGUAGGCCUAACACAUGCAAGUCGAACGGCAGCACAGUAAGAGCUUGCUCUUACGGGUGGCGAGUGGCGGACGGGUGAGGAAUACAUCGGGAUCUACUUUUUCGUGGGGGAUAACGUAGGGAAACUUACGCUAAUACCGCAUACGACCUACGGGUGAAAGCAGGGGAUCUUCGGACCUUGCGCGAUUGAAUGAGCCGAUGUCGGAUUAGCUAGUUGGCGGGGUAAAGGCCCACCAAGGCGACGAUCCGUAGCUGGUCUGAGAGGAUGAUCAGCCACACUGGAACUGAGACACGGUCCAGACUCCUACGGGAGGCAGCAGUGGGGAAUAUUGGACAAUGGGCGCAAGCCUGAUCCAGCCAUACCGCGUGGGUGAAGAAGGCCUUCGGGUUGUAAAGCCCUUUUGUUGGGAAAGAAAAGCAGCAGGUUAAUACCCCGAUGUUCUGACGGUACCCAAAGAAUAAGCACCGGCUAACUUCGUG
rnacentral:rRNA from 1 species